CAUAGCUCAUCGGUUGAGCGACAGUCUCUUCAACUGUAGGAGCGGGUUCGAUUCCCGCUGCAAUCCA
rnacentral:tRNA from 1 species